UAGGGAAUCUUCGGCAAUGGACGAAAGUCUGACCGAGCAACGCCGCGUGAGUGAAGAAGGUUUUCGGAUCGUAAAACUCUGUUGUUAGAGAAGAACAAGGACGUUAGUAACUGAACGUCCCCUGACGGUAUCUAACCAGAAAGCCACGGCUAACUACGUGCCAGCAGCCGCGGUAAUACGUAGGUGGCAAGCGUUGUCCGGAUUUAUUGGGCGUAAAGCGAGCGCAGGCGGUUUCUUAAGUCUGAUGUGAAAGCCCCCGGCUCAACCGGGGAGGGUCAUUUGGAACCGGGGGACUUUGGUGCAGAAGAGGGGGGUGGAAUUCCAUGUGUUGCGGUGAAAUGCCUAGAUAUAUGGGGGAAAACCCGGUGCGAAGGCGGCUCUCUGGUCUGUAACUGACGCUGAGGGUCGAAAGCGUGGGGGGCAAACAGG
rnacentral:rRNA from 1 species